AUGCAGUCGAGCGGUAACAGAUCCAGCUUGCUGGAUGCUGACGAGCGGCGGACGGGUGAGUAAUGCAUAGGAAUCUGCCCGAUAGUGGGGGAUAACCUGGGGAAACCCAGGCUAAUACCGCAUACGUCCUACGGGAGAAAGGGGGCUCCGGCUCCCGCUAUGGGAUGAGCCUAUGUCGGAUUAGCUAGUUGGUGAGGUAACGGCUCACCAAGGCCACGAUCCGUAGCUGGUCUGAGAGGAUGAUCAGCCACAUCGGGACUGAGACACGGCCCGAACUCCUACGGGAGGCAGCAGUGGGGAAUAUUGGACAAUGGGGGAAACCCUGAUCCAGCCAUGCCGCGUGUGUGAAGAAGGCCCUCGGGUUGUAAAGCACUUUCAGCGAGGAAGAACGCCUAGCGGUUAAUACCCGCUAGGAAAGACAUCACUCGCAGAAGAAGCACCGGCUAACUCCGUGCCAGCAGCCGCGGUAAUACGGAGGGUGCAAGCGUUAAUCGGAAUUACUGGGCGUAAAGCGCGCGUAGGUGGCUUGAUAAGCCGGUUGUGAAAGCCCCGGGCUCAACCUGGGAACGGCAUCCGGAACUGUCAAGCUAGAGUGCAGGAGAGGAAGGUAGAAUUCCCGGUGUAGCGGUGAAAUGCGUAGAGAUCGGGAGGAAUACCAGUGGCGAAGGCGGCCUUCUGGACUGACACUGACACUGAGGUGCGAAAGCGUGGGUAGCAAACAGGAUUAGAUACCCUGGUAGUCCACGCCGUAAACGAUGUCGACCAGCCGUUGGGUGCCUAGCGCACUUUGUGGCGAAGUUAACGCGAUAAGUCGACCGCCUGGGGAGUACGGCCGCAAGG
rnacentral:rRNA from 1 species